rnacentral:tRNA from 1 species
GGGGUUGUGGCUCAGAGGUAGAGUGCUCACCUAGCAUGCGUGAAGCACUGGGUUCAAUCCUCAGCACCACA